rnacentral:rRNA from 1 species
AUAGCCGCAGUAUUUUGACUGUGCUAAGGUAGCAUAGUAAUUUGUUCCUUGAUUGGGGGCUGGGAUAAACGAGUCGACGACACUUGAGCUGUCUCUGGCUUAAAGUGGAAAUUGAUAUUUACAUCAAAAAGUGUAACUACUCGAGAAGACGAUAAGACCCUGUAAAACUUUAUUUCAAGGUAAGUUAUUUUAAUUUUGGAGUUUGGGGUGUUUUUAGAAAUUAGGCUGGGGCGGCAUCUGGUAGACUUCAGCACAUGUAACAAUUAUAGUUGAGUGGGAGGUUCUUUAUUUAAGUUAGAACAAGUUACUUUAGGGAUAACAGCAUAAUUUUUUCUUAUAGAUCUCAUAGAAGAAAAAGACUUAUGACCUCGAUGUUGAAUUGAGAGGCCCGACUCAAGCAGAAAUGAGUUUGGGGGGUCUGUUCGACCCAUAAAUUCUCA